rnacentral:rRNA from 1 species
UGGAAAGAUGAAUCAAAGAAGGUAAUAAUCCUGUAGUCGAAAAUGUUGUCUCUCUUGAGUGGAUCCUGAGUACGACGGAGCACGUGAAAUUCCGUCGGAAUCUGGGAGGACCAUCUCCUAAGGCUAAAUACUCUCUAGUGACCGAUAGUGAACCAGUACCGUGAGGGAAAGGUGAAAAGCACCCCGGAAGGGGAGUGAAAUAGAACCUGAAACCGUGUGCUUACAAGUAGUCAGAGCCCGUUAAUGGGUGAUGGCGUGCCUUUUGUAGAAUGAACCGGCGAGUUACGAUUUGAUGCAAGGUUAAGCAGUAAAUGUGGAGCCGUAGCGAAAGCGAGUCUGAAUAGGGCGUUUAGUAUUUGGUCGUAGACCCGAAACCAGGUGAUCUACCCUUGGUCAGGUUGAAGUUCAGGUAACACUGAAUGGAGGACCGAACCGACUUACGUUGAAAAGUGAGCGGAUGAACUGAGGGUAGCGGAGAAAUUCCAAUCGAACCUGGAGAUAGCUGGUUCUCUCCGAAAUAGCUUUAGGGCUAGCCUCAAGUGAUGAUUAUUGGAGGUAGAGCACUGUUUGGACGAGGGGCCCCUCUCGGGUUACCGAAUUCAGACAAACUCCGAAUGCCAAUUAAUUUAACUUGGGAGUCAGAACAUGGGUGAUAAGGUCCGUGUUCGAAAGGGAAACAGCCCAGACCACCAGCUAAGGUCCCAAAAUAUAUGUUAAGUGGAAAAGGAUGUGGCGUUGCCCAGACAACUA